ensembl:lncRNA
CUGAUUGAAAAUUCUAAUCACAGCCUUGCAGUCCUUCAGAUCACAACCCUUGACAGUUGAUUCACUCCUUUUCAUGCCUGCUGCCUCUCGCUGCUUCUGGUGCCUCUUAUGCAUGAGUCUAUCAUUAGCGCACAAAGCAUGAUGGAUUGGUUGGGGUACCUCUAUCCUUAGAACCUGGGAAAUGCUUCUCUUUCAGAAUCAAAGAACCUGUGUGUGACAUCGUCAUGAAUGAGAGAAGAAAGUAAUACAGUAUUGGAUGUGCCUGUUUGCUGCCACUAUUUAGAGAGAAAAUGAUGCAUUAUGGGGAAUCACUCGAAGGGUCUGAAUGAGAUGAACUGUUUGGGUUAUAGUAUCUGAAAGGCUCAAUUAUUCUCUUGGAGACAUAUUCUAAAUGAGCCUGACCGAGAUACUGGAUCUGUGUGAAGAGGACUAAGGAUAUAGGAUGUCAACUGAGACAGAACUUCAAGUGGCUGUUAAAACCAGCACAAAGAAAGACUCCAAAAAGAAAGAUCAUAAUAACAGAAUGCUGUGCACAAAAUCUGAUUCUAGCCCUCACAUGGAAAACCUGAGAAUUACCUUUGCUGCUGAGGAAAAGCACAAAAUACAUUCUGUGGCAGCAAUCAGAGCUCCCUGCUGCAUGCAGAAGUGUCUAGAAGGGACAGUUUGCAGCAGUGCAUCACCAGAAAUGAUCACGCUCAGUGCUGUGGGCACGUCUGCUCACAUCCAGCCCUCUGGAAGCCUCGCUGUACGUGGAGUGCUUCGGACAGAUGAGGUGUUCAGUUCUGACAGCGUUUGCUGUUCCAAUCGCAUGCAGUGAAAAGUCAAAAGAAACUUGGUAUGUUCAUUUGUUUGUUGCUGGGUUGUGUGUGUUUGUGUAUAGUUCAACAAAUGAGCUCUCUGUAAAGUGUGAAUGAUGGAUGUGUGGCAAGCAGGAGGCUUCUUUCCCGAGUUCAUUACUGCAAGCAGCAGCAGGUAGCAAGCACUGGCAUGAGGUUUCUUGUGUCUCUCAUCAGUGACUUUGAUUAUUCAACAGAGCUGAGUACUCCCAAGAAAUUGCUCUCUGCUUUAUAAACAGAAGUUUCAGCUCUGAUGUAUUUUCAGUGGAUCAGGUUUUGUACUUCUGCAAGAGCCGUACAGCUAAUUCUGUUCAACAGGUGGGAGGGAGGAUCUUCCUACCCUUCAUUUCUGCCUAUCUGGAGGUUCUCCUGCCAGCUGCAGUAACAGCACUGCACUGAGACAGAGCAGUGAGUUUCAUAAGAGUUUCCUUGUGGAAUGACUCCUACAGGUGUAUCCUGUGCUGAAGAUCUGUGCUGCAGAUGGGGCGUGUGGCACUAAUGCUCCUGCAUGGAUAUGGAUUUUAUGGGAUCUUACUUUCAGAACAAAGGUCUCUUUCUGGAGUUAUAUGCAAAGCAAUUCUCUUACAAGUGAUUAUUUAAAACAUUUCUCAUUUGACGUGAUGUUUUUUACAGCCAUAGGUCUUAAAAUCCUUCCUGCAAGUCUCUGGUCUUUCUGUUAUCAUCAGAGCUGGUUUGUAAGGCAGUUUUCUGCUCUAUUAGUAAGAGAAUUCCUAGAGUUAGGACAAAAACUGACAUGCGAAAUCAUCUCGGAAGCUGCUCUUUAAGUAAAAUCCAGCUGUAAAACUCCAGUGUUCUAUAGAGAAGUUCAAUACUAACAGAUAACAUCAAACUGUAAUUUUUCAAUCAUAGUAUUAUCACCAUGGGUAAUCUUAAAAAUAGGUUGUUGAAAGCCAAGUCCUUAUUUUGCCUUAUAUUGACCUGACUGAUGAAUAAAUGCUCCAGAAUUUGAUGGGCACUGGCAAAGAUAGUUGCUCGUGUUCUCAGCACACAGCAGGAAUUUAACUGACUGGAAGGUGUUGCUUUUUGCUCCGUGUAUUGUCAAGGUGUUGAGCAGCUGGGGACCCAUGUUUUGCUGUGACCUGCACAGCCCUCCUUCCUACACUUCACUCCAUCUUAUGAGCUUACAGUGCACUCGAUGUUAUUAGAGGAGAUUAUAUUGCUGCCAACCCCAACCUCCAGCACUAAUCUUCGUGCCACUCUCGCCUGAUAUCUGCUGGUAGCUGUGUUGUAAC